rnacentral:rRNA from 1 species
AUUGAACGCUGGCGGCAUGCCUUACACAUGCAAGUCGAACGGUAGGGGGAGCAAUCCCCUGAGAGUGGCGAACGGGUGAGUAAAGCAUCGGAACGUGCCCAGUUGUGGGGGAUAACUACUCGAAAGAGUGGCUAAUACCGCAUACGACCUGAGGGUGAAAGCGGGGGACCGAAAGGCCUCGCGCAGUUGGAGCGGCCGAUGUCAGAUUAGCUAGUUGGGGGGGUAAAGGCCCACCAAGGCGACGAUCUGUAGCUGGUCUGAGAGGACGACCAGCCACACUGGGACUGAGACACGGCCCAGACUCCUACGGGAGGCAGCAGUGGGGAAUUUUGGACAAUGGGCGCAAGCCUGAUCCAGCCAUGCCGCGUGCAGGAAGAAGGCCUUCGGGUUGUAAACUGCUUUUGUCAGGGAAGAAAUCCCUUGGGUUAAUACCUCGGGGGGAUGACGGUACCUGAAGAAUAAGCACCGGCUAACUACGUGCCAGCAGCCGCAGUAA